AACGCACAUUGCGCCCGCCGGUAUCCCGGCGGGCAUGCCUGUUCGAGCGUCAUUUCAACCCUCAGGCUCUGCCUGGUGUUGGGGCACCACCGCUGUGGGCCCCAAAAUUCAGCGGCGGGCACGCCCCGGACCCGAGCGUAGUAGCACAUCUCGCUAAGGGCUUCGGGCGGGCUCCAGCCGUUAAACACCCCAAUUUCUAAGGUUGACCUCGGAUCAGGUAGGAAUACCCGCUGAACUUAA
rnacentral:misc_RNA from 1 species